rnacentral:rRNA from 1 species
CAGCCGCCGCGGGAAUACGAAGGGGGCUAGCGUUGCUCAGAAUUACUGGGCGUAAAGGGAGCGUAGGCGGACUGUUUAGUCAGAGGUGAAAGCCCAGGGCUCAACCUUGGAAUUGCCUUUGAUACUGGCAGUCUUGAGUACGGAAGAGGUAUGUGGAACUCCGAGUGUAGAGGUGAAAUUCGUAGAUAUUCGGAAGAACACCAGUGGCGAGGGCGACAUACUGGUCCGUUACUGACGCUGAGGCUCGAAAGCGUGGGGAGCAAACAGGAUUAGAUACCCCUAGUCCCUGUCUCUUAUACAC